rnacentral:rRNA from 1 species
UGGGGAAUCUUCCGCAAUGGACGAAAGUCUGACGGAGCAACGCCGCGUGUAUGAUGAAGGUCUUCGGAUUGUAAAGUACUGUCAUUGGGGAAGAACGGUUUUCUUGAAAAGAUUGGGAAGACAUGACGGUACCCAAGGAGGAAGCCCCGGCUAACUACGUGCCAGCAGCCGCGGUAAUACGUAGGGGGCAAGCGUUGUCCGGAAUUAUUGGGCGUAAAGGGCGCGUAGGCGGGCCUUUAAGUCCGGUGUGAAAGAUCAGGGCUCAACCCUGAGAGUGCAUCGGAAACUGGAGGCCUUGAGGACAGGAGAGGAAAGUGGAAUUCCACGUGUAGCGGUGAAAUGCGUAGAUAUGUGGAGGAACACCAGUGGCGAAGGCGACUUUCUGGACUGUAACUGACGCUGAGGCGCGAAAGCGUGGGGAGCAAACAGGAUUAGAUACCCUGGUAGUCCACGCCGUAAACGAUGAGUGCUAGGUGUAGAGGGUAUCGACCCCUUCUGUGCCGCAGUUAACACAAUAAGCACUCCGCCUGGGGAGUACGGCCGCAAGGUUGAAACUCAAAUGAA